rnacentral:rRNA from 1 species
GAUGAACGCUAGCGGGAGGCCUAACACAUGUAAGCCGAGCGGUAUUGUUUCUUCGGAAAUGAGAGAGCGGCGUACGGGUGCGGAACACGUGUGCAACCUGCCUUUAUCUGUGGGAUAGCCUUUCGAACGGAAGAUUAAUACUCCAUAAUAUAUUGAACGGCAUCGUUUAAUAUUAAAAGCUCCGGCGGAUCGAGAUGGGCACGCGCAAGAUUAGCUAGUUGGUGAGGUAACGGCUCACUAAGGCGAUGAUCUUUAGGGGGCCUGAGAGGGUGAUGCCCGACACUGGUACUGAGACACGGACCAGACUCAUACGGGAGGCAGCAGUGGGGAAGAUUGGUCAAUGGGUGCAAGCCUGAACCAGCCAAGCCGCGUGAAGGACGACUGCCCUAUGGGUUGUAAACUUCUUUUGUAUAGGGAUAAACCUACUCUCGUGAGGGUAGCUGAAGGUAAUAUACGAAUAAGCACCGGCUAACUCCGUGCCAGCAGCCGCCGUAACAC